rnacentral:tRNA from 1 species
UGGGAUAUAGCCAAGUGGUAAGGCAUUAGUUUUUGGAACUAUGUAUCAAAGGUUCGAAUCCUUUUAUCCCAG